rnacentral:lncRNA from 1 species
UUGCUAAAUUUUAUUGGUUAUGUAUAAAACUACUUUCUAAAUUUUAUUGAAAGUUUUUUUUUUUUGAAUAAAAUACUGGAUCUAUAUUCCUCAGGCUCAAAACCAAACAAACCAAAAACCAGACCAAGUCCAAAACAAAAACACAUUCUGGAAAAAAAACCAAAGAAACAGGAAAAACUGAAAAUAAAAAUAAACACAGCCCAAAAAACGGCCCACACAAAUAGAGACCCAGCACAAUAAUCGGCAGUAGAAAACUCUAGAGACAUUGCAUCCCAGUUGGCUUCAACAAAACCUCCUUCAAAACAACUCCACCGCCUGGAAAAACACACUUCAUUCAUAUCAAACGUUACUUCCAUCAAUCAACAGCAAUCAAUAUUCACCCACUUCCUACCCACUUUCCUUCUUGAGAGAAACCAAACAUUUGAAGCUUACUGCAAAACUCCCCCCACUUCCUCCUCCGCCAUCCGACCCCUCGACUCCCUCUGGCUCUCCGUCCAUCUCCUCUCCUCAUCCGCCACGGCCUCAGCCCCACGAGGAACUCGAUUACAGAUAAGUAAAAACUCUAUUUUUAAGACCGUCAGUCGCUAUUAUAUGGGCAACACUAUUAGAGAACCUGUUGAUAAAACGAAACCCACAAUAGUCAAAGUUUAAACUCCGAACCUUUGAAUCUCUAAUUAUUGCAGCUAUUUCAGAUCUAUUCUCGUUUACAUUUGCAGUUUACGAAUCACCGUCCGAGAGUCCCCUUCCACUUCCACCUCCUUGAGUCCAAGUUGAACACCCAGAUCAAGAGCCUGAAAGCAUGCCAAUGCUUCAGCCGCAACCGCAGACGGUACGUUCACAUGUAAAACUGAUCUAGAGCAAACAACUUCUGCCUUUUCAUUCCUUACCACUAACCCAGAACACGAUUCUCUUCGUUGUCUGUUGCAAGCGGCAUCAAAAUUAAUUUUGAUUCGCGGGCAAAUCGGAGCGACCCAUCUGACAUUAUUGACACUUCUCUCAGGUAAAGGCGCUUUCGCCCCAUCUAACUCCUUAAUGUAGUUAAGCACAAACUCAGCAACUUGAGCGCCCGAUUUCAUUUCCCCCUCAUGUAGAAAUCUAUUUCUAGAUGUCCAAAUCGCCCAUAGUGCACAAGAGAUCAAUCUGCACUUGGAAAUAGACUGAGAAACAAAAAAAUUCAUUAGAUCUGCAUGAAAAUCAGAAUCCACUGUCGGGCUAGUCCAAGAUAAAUUUAACUUCUCCCAUGUUUCUUUUGCGACAGGACAGUCCCUGAACAAGUGCAUCCCCGUUUCUGCUCCCGAAUGACACCUCCAGCACAUGGUAGAAUCAAUCAGCCUUCUGUAGUGUAGAUUACUGUAGUUAGGCAGAAAAUUACGAGUGCAACGCCAGAUUGUAAUUUUAAUUUUAAAAGGCAGCUCUAGGCUCCAAAGUCGCUUGUAAAAUUGUUUGUAACAAGUCUGUAAUUGAUCCUGGCCUUCUUGUAAAAGAAUCUUGUACCCACUUCGGACCGAGUACACACUCCCCAGUCGGCUUUCCACUCCAAGUAAGUUGGUCCACAUGCGUACUUAAUGACAAAGGAAUACUCAAAAUACGCUCAGCAACACUCUCACCGGGAAGUUAUUAUAAAUUAACUCAGCGUUCCAUCUUCUUGUAACAGUGUCAAUCAGAUCCGCAACCUUUAUUAAACCCUCAUUGAAAAUUGGACUCUGAAUUCUAACUUCUUCUAGUUCAGGUACCCACACAUCUUCCAGGAUGGAUACUUGCUGGCCAUCUCCAAUCCUCCAUCCCAAUCCUUUCCAGAGUAAUCCCUUUGCAGCCCAUAUACCCUGCCAGGUAAAGGGAGGUAAAUUGCCCAGUCUUGAAUUUAAGAAAUCAGACUCUUUAUAAUAUUUAGCCGUCAAAGUGCGCGCUAGUAAAGAAUUAGGAGAACGUAAUAUACGCCAACCCUGUUUUGCUAACAAAGCAAUAUUAAAAAGGCUAAGAUUACGAAAUCCCAUUCCACCAUCCUCCUUAAGCCCACUUAAACCCUUCCAGUCACACCGAUGCAUGCCUCUCCUUCCUUGACCAUUUUGCCACCAAAAAGAGCUCAUUAUAUUUUCUAACACUAAACAAAGAGAUUUUGUUUAAAGAAAACAAGCCAUCGUGUAAAUAGGAAUAGCUUGCAAAACGGCUUUGAUAAAAACUUCUUUACCUCCAAGAGAAAGAACCCUGAUACUCCAGCUGUUGAUUUUCUGUCGCAAUCUAUCUUUCAGAUGUUGGAAAGCCCUCUUUUUCUUUCUUCCCACUCUAUUUGGAAGCCCCAAAUAUUUUUUCAUAUCUGUUGAAAAUGGUACAUUCAUCCUUUUAGAGACUAAAUUUUUCCCCCAAUCAUUUACAUUAUUGCUAACAAAGACUGGACUUUUCCAAAUUAACGCACUGCCUCGAGCAAGCCUCAUACUCUUGAAGAAUCAUCAGCAAACAUGAGGU